UGGGGAAUAUUGGACAAUGGGGGGCAACCCUGAUCCAGCAAUGCCGCGUGUGUGAAGAAGGUCUUCGGAUUGUAAAGCACUUUCGACGGGGACGAUGAUGACGGUACCCGUAGAAGAAGCCCCGGCUAACUUCGUGCCAGCAGCCGCGGUAAUACGAAGGGGGCUAGCGUUGCUCGGAAUGACUGGGCGUAAAGGGCGUGUAGGCGGUUUACACAGUCAGAUGUGAAAUCCCCGGGCUUAACCUGGGAGCUGCAUUUGAUACGUGUAGACUAGAGUGUGAGAGAGGGUUGUGGAAUUCCCAGUGUAGAGGUGAAAUUCGUAGAUAUUGGGAGAACACCGGUGGCGAAGGCGGCAACCUGGCUCAUGACUGACGCUGAGGCGCGAAAGCGUGGGGAGCAAACAGGAUUAGAUACCCUGGUAGUCCACGCUGUAAACGAUGUGUGCUAGAUGUUGGGUAAC
rnacentral:rRNA from 1 species